UUGGAGUCUGGCCCCCAGGGAGUAUUUAUAGAUGCCCCAAAAUUAAUACCGCUGCCCUCCUGCUGGGACGACCUGGACUGCCCCCAACAGCAGCUGCCUCUCCCACACCUGCUGCGUCUGAGUCCCAGAGAAUGUAGGAUUUAUUUAUUUUAGAGAGAGAGCCAACAUGCACAAGCACAAGCAGGAAGAUGAGAGAGAAAAGCAGACGCCCCGCUGAGCACAGAGCCAGAGGAAAGGCUUAAUCUCAAGACUUCAAGAUCAUGACCUGAGUGGAAACCAAGAGUCAGAAGCUUAACAUACAGAGCAACCCAGGCGUCUCAGAUAUUUUCCUUCUGACAGUGCCUUUCCCUUCUAAGUGCUUUAAACCUUAGGAUCUGGCUUCUAAAUGUGUUUCUCUCUUGGAUGCCAGGAGGUUCUUGAGAAGGGUGAGUUGUGGGCUUACCCUCUUUUUUCAAAGG
rnacentral:lncRNA from 1 species